UUGCAAAUAUAUUUGUAAACCACAAAUUUUUCGAAUCUGUAAAACAUAAAUACAAGACAAGAAAAAUAUAGGAAAACAAAUAAAUAUAUUAUCAAACGAAAGCGGAUUACAAUCUCCGUAAUUCCCCUGAUUCUUCUCUCCUAUUCUAAUUUUGAUUCAAGGGCUUAAAAGCUUGUUCUUGAAUCAAACAUAUGAUUUCCUAUCACGAACAUCUCGAAUCUAAAUAUGUUAUGAAUUCGAGGAAUCGAAUAUAUGAUUUCCUAUCACGAACAUCUCGAAUUCAAAUAUGUUAUGAAUUCGAGGCGGAGGCUCGAGACGUGAGCUUGAGAGCUCGAUAUGUGCCUGUGUGAGUCUGAUUUUUAGAUGCACCAAAGAUCUUCUUUUAUAGGCACAAGCUAGGGUUAGGGUUUCUCGACUUGCAGAGUGGGCCAGACAUUUUAAAGCCCAAAUAUAUUAUGGACUUUAAUUUGAGACCUAAAUUAAUAACCGAUCUAUUUUGGUUAUUAAUUAGUAAUUUAUCUCCAAAUUUCGAUGUCUACAAAUGCCCCUACUUCUAGUCUCGGCGAAGAACAUGUCGAGUAACUGUGAGACGAGACUUGAAGUACUUAAGUUUUUUUUCUUUUUCAAAACCCAUUUCUUCAAAUUUGGGAUUCAUUUGUAAUUUCUCCCUUUUGAUUGGCUGGCUCAAACGUAGUAUAUAUCGGUUUUCCGAAUUUGAGGCGCAAAUGACAUUUCUUUCUUUUCCACUUAGGGACCCAAUUGCAAUUUUGAAGAUUUGGCUAACAAUUGGAUUCAGCUUCCUCUUCUGCCCUACUUCGGAAUUUUGGCCACCAUAACCUGACAAGCUUCUCAUGGAAAACAUCUUUUUAAUUUCCCACGCACUUCGGAUACACUAUGAACAUCGGCAUCGAGGAGCAAUUCCCACGCACUUCGGACACACUAUGAACAUCGGCAUCGAGGAGGAGCAUGGGAUUUCUUGGAGGCAGCGUGGAUUUCCGGGAGAAGAGGUUUGCAUCGGCAGGAUUAGGUGAUGACUCCGGCGACUGAUUUAGGCGGCAAAGUGGAGUACGAUGGUGGAAUGGUCACUGCCUAUUGCCUAGUGUCUCUGGGAAAAGAUGAGGCAGUCCAGAGACGGCGGAUUUGAGAGAGCAAAAGUUUGCAGUGGCGGCAAUUCCGGGCUGUUACACGGCGGUGCGAGUUUCUUAUGUGAAUCCACGAAGCUCAGCAACAAAGAAGCGGCAGCAGAUUUUAGUGGCCGGAAGCCGGCACUGGCGGGACAUCGCCGAGCACAUUCGAACAGCCUUCUUGUUUGAUGGCGGUGGAGAGAAUUGUUCGUAGCUGUAGACCAUGCCCCCUCCUUUUUUUUUUUUUUUUUUUUUUUCGGCCAUCACUGUCGAGAAAGAAAAUCUUUCUUUAAAAAUAUCCUUGCCAAUAUUAC
rnacentral:lncRNA from 1 species